AUUAUAGUGAAAAAUAGUGCAUCAUAGAUAAUAAAAUUAGUUAAUUAAAUAAGUCUCAAAAAAGGUGUGUAAUAAUGGCAAUAAUUUAUCUUUAAUAUUAAAGUUUUGUGUAUGGCAAUUUUCCUUUUUUUUCUUCUCUCUUGGACGGCCAUUGCGUUAACAUAUAAAAAAUUGUGUGCAUUAAUUUAGAGUCAAAAUAAUAAAAUAAAGUUAUUGAGAAAAUUAAAGUAUGUUUCAUUAACAA
rnacentral:misc_RNA from 1 species